AUUGAACGCUGGCGGCAGGCCUAACACAUGCAAGUCGAGCGGAAAGUUCUUCGGAACCGAGAGCGGCGGACGGGUGAGGAGAGCGUGGGAAUCUGCCUGUAGAUGGGGGAUAGCCCGGAGAAAUCCGGAUUAAUACCGCAUAAUACCUGAGGGUUAAAGUGGAGGAUCGCAAGACUUCACGUCUACAGAUGAGCCCACGUCAGAUUAGCUAGUUGGUAGGGUAAAGGCCUACCAAGGCGACGAUCUGUAGCUGGCCUGAGAGGGUGGCCAGCCACACUCGAACUGAGACAAGGUACAGACUCCUACGGGGGGCAGCAGUGGGGAAUAUUGGACAAUGGGCGCAAGCCUGAUCCAGCCAUGCCGCGUGUGUGAAGAAGGCCUUCGGGUUGUAAAGCACUUUAAGUUGGGAGGAAGGUUCGAUGGAUAAUACCCAUCGGAAUUGACGUUACCAACAGAAUAAGCACCGGCUAAUUCCGUGCCAGCAGCCGCAGUAAUAC
rnacentral:rRNA from 1 species